rnacentral:rRNA from 1 species
UACAUGGGGUGCAAACGUUGCUCGGAAUUAUUGGGCGUAAAGCGCGCGUAGGCGGUUACUCAAGUCGGAUGUGAAAGGCCCUCGGCUUAAACUUGGAGGAAGUGCACCCGAAACUGAGUAGCUAGAGUACUAAAGAGGGUCGCGGAAGUUCCCGGUGGUAGGAGGUGAAAUUCGAUAGAUAUCGGGAGGAACACCGGUGGCGAAGGCGGCGACCUGGGUAGAUACUGGACGCUGAGGAGCGAAAGCGUGGGGAGCGAACGAGG